AGCGGUGCACCCGCAGAAGCCUUGCCGCAGCGACUGGAAACAACUGCACCAGUCUGCCUUAUGCAGGCAACACCACGAUCUUGCUGGGACCCCUGCGCUGCCUGUCAGCUGUGGACACCAGUGGCCUGUAUCACACAGGUUCACAGAUCAAACAGUGGUGGCCAAGCAUCAUUACGGUUGAUGCUCUGGUUGAGAUAUGACCGGUCUCCGCUCUCAUCAGUGGAGAGAAGACGUUCCGUAGGUGAACCUGCGGAAGGAUCAUUACAGAGUUAGGGUCUCUCAGGCCCAACCUCCAACCCGAUGUGUACGUUACCUUUGUUGCUUUGGCGGGCCCGUGGGACGAUUCACCGGCGGCUACAGGCUGCUGAGCGCCCGUCAGAGACCCAUCAAACUCUGUCAACUGUGCAGUCUGAGUACCAAUACAAUAGUUAAAACUUUCAACAACGGAUCUCUUGGUUCUGGCAUCGAUGAAGAACGCAGCGAAAUGCGAUAAGUAAUGUGAAUUGCAGAAUUCAGUGAAUCAUCGAAUCUUUGAACGCACAUUGCGCCCUUUGGUAUUCCGAGGGGCAUGCCUGUUCGAGCGUCAUUACACCACUCAAGCUCUGCUUGGUAUUGGGCCUUCGUCCUCCAUGGAUGUGCCCGGAAAUCAGCGGCGGCAUAGCCUAGCUUCAAGCAGCAUUAGUUAAUCCUUUGCUUUGGAAGCCCAGGUUGAAGUCAGCCAGACAACCUUCAAUUCUUCUCAUGGUUGACCUCGGAUCAGGUAGGGAUACCCGCUGAACUUAAGCAUAUCAAUAAGCGGAGGAAAAGAAACCAACAGGGAUUGCCUCAGUAACGGCGAGUGAAGCGGCAACAGCUCAAAUUUGAAAUCUGGCUCUUUUAGGGUCCGAGUUGUAAUUUGUAGAGGAUGCUUCGGGUAUGGCUCCGGUCUAAGUUCCUUGGAACAGGACGUCACAGAGGGUGAGAAUCCCGUACGUGACCGGCCUCCACGCCUGUGUGAAGCUCCUUCGACGAGUCGAGUUGUUUGGGAAUGCAGCUCCAAAUGGGUGGUAAAUUUCAUCUAAAGCUAAAUAUUGGCCAGAGACCGAUAGCGCACAAGUAGAGUGAUCGAAAGAUGAAAAGCACUUUGGAAAGAGAGUCAAACAGUACGUGAAAUUGUUGAAAGGGAAGCGCUUGCAAUCAGACUUGCCUGCGGGUGAUCAGCCGGUAUUUUUCACCGGUGCACUCACCCGUGGUCAGGCCAGCAUCGGUUUGGGCGGCUGGAUAAAGUCCACCGGAACGUAGCUCCUCUCGGGGAGUGUUAUAGCCGGAGGUGCAAUGCAGCCUGCCCGGACCGAGGACCGCGCU
rnacentral:sRNA from 1 species